AUAAUGAUAGUAUAAUAAGUACGUUAAUUUUCCAAAUUAAAAGUUUAUGGAUUUAUAAUCAUUAU
rnacentral:tRNA from 1 species